rnacentral:rRNA from 1 species
UAACACGUGGGGAACCUGCCCCAUAGUCUGGGAUACCACUUGGAAACAGGUGCUAAUACCGGAUAAGAAAGCGGAUCGCAUGAUCAGCUUUUAAAAGGCGGCGUAAGCUGUCGCUAUGGGAUGGCCCCGCGGUGCAUUAGCUAGUUGGUAAGGUAAAGGCUUACCAAGGCGAUGAUGCAUAGCCGAGUUGAGAGACUGAUCGGCCACAUUGGGACUGAGACACGGCCCAAACUCCUACGGGAGGCAGCAAGUA